AACGAACGCUAGCGGGAUGCCUCAAACAUGCAAGUCGCACGCGAAAGCCCGCAAGGGUAAGUAGAGUGGCGCACGGGUGAGUAACACGUAGCUAACGUACCCUCUCACUGGGGAUAACUCCGGGGAAACCGGAGCUAAUACCGAAUAAUCUGUCAGGGUCUGCGGACCUUGCCGGUAAAGCCGUAAGGCGUGAGAGGAUCGGGCUGCGUCCCAUUAGCUUGUUGGUAGGGUAACGGCCUACCAAGGCACGAUGGGUAGCUGGUCUGAGAGGACGACCAGCCACACUGGAACUGAAACACGGUCCAGACUCCCACGGGAGGCAGCAGUUGGGAAUUUUGCACAAUGGAGGAAACUCUGAUGCAGCAAUCCCGCGUUGAGUGAUG
rnacentral:rRNA from 1 species